rnacentral:lncRNA from 1 species
GAGCGAAUUCACUCAGAACUAACAAGAAUGAUAACAUGCUCCGACUGGAGCGGUUUAGGAACUGCUGGAAGGCUCUAGGGGAAUAAAGAUGGAAUGACUUCUAAUUUUUAGGUCCGUAUGAUUUGAAAUACUUGCACACAAACCACGCGAAAGCGUUCCUGGAAAUCUCAGCCCAAAAAAGGACGUUUAGUAAUUCUAAAAGGGACUACAGGAUGAAAAACAAUAGUUUUGGCAGUUAAAGUUUGAGAUUCGACAGUGCCGUAGAUCCGUUUGGUCAUCAGGUAUUACGAGCCACACCCAUGUCUAGCUAGAAUAGUGUGCUAGGCUCAGGCUAGAGAAGAAACGGGGAACAAACUGAUGAAAGAAUGAUCAAACCGAGGGAAUUCACUCAGAACUAACAAUAAUGAUAACGUGCUCCGACUGGUGCGGUUUAGGAACUGCUGGAAGGCUCUAGGGGAAUAAAGAUGGAAUGACUUCUAAUUUUUAGGUCCGUAUGAUUUGAAAUACUUGCACACAAACCGCGCGAAAGCGUUCCUGGAAAUCUCAGCCCAAAAAAGGACGUUUAGUAAUUUUAAAAGGGACUAUAGGAUGAAAAACAAUAGUUUUGGCAAUUAAAGUUUGAGAUUCGACGGUGUCGUAGAUCCGUUUGGUCAUCAGGUGUUACGAGCCACACCCAUGUCUAGCUAGAAUAGUAUGUCAGGCUCAGGUUAGAGUAGAAACGGGGAACAAACUGAUGAAAGAAUGAUCAUACCAAGGGAAUUCACUCAGAACUAUCAAGAAUGAUAACGUGCUCCGACUGGAGUGAUUUAGGAACUGCUGGAAGGCUCUAGGGGAAUAAAGAUGGAAUGACUUCUAAUUUUUACGUCCGUAUGAUUUGAAAUACUUGCACACAAAUCACGCAAAAGCGUUCCUGGAAAUCUCAGCCUAAAAAAGGACGUUUAGUAAUUCUAAAAGGGACUACAGGAUGAAAAACAAUAGUUUGGGCAGUUAAAAUUUGAGAUUCGACGGUGCCGUAGAUCCGUUUGGUCAUCAGGUGUUACGAGCGACACCCUUGUCUAGCUAGAAUAGUGUGUUAGGCUCAGACUAGAGAAGAAACGGGGAACAAAGUGAUGAAAGAAUGAUCAUACCGAGGGAAUUCACUCAGAACUAACAAGAAUGAUAACGUGCUCCGACUGGAGCGGUUUAGUAACUGCUGGAAGGCUCUAGGGGAAUGAAGAUGGAAUGACUUCUAAUUUUUAGGUCCGUAUGAUUUGAAAUACAUGCACACAAACCCUGAGAAAGCGUUCCUGGAAAUCUCGGUCGAAAAAAGGAUGUUUAAUAAUUCUAAAAGGGACUACCGGAUGAAAAACAAUAGUUUUGGCAGUUAAAGUUUGUGAUUCGAUGGUGCCGUAGAUCUGUUUGGUCAUCAGGUGUUACGAGCCACACCCAUGUCUAUCUAGAAUAGUGUGUUAGGCUCAGGCUAGAGCAGAAACGGGGAACAGACUUAUGAAAGAAUGAUCAUACCGAGGGAAUUCACUCAGAACUAACAAGAAUGAUAACGUGCUCCGACUGGCGCGGUUUAGGAACUGCUGGAAGGCUCUAGGGGAAUAAAGAUGGAAAGACUUCUAAUUUUUAGGUCCGUAUGAUUUGAAAUACUUGCACACAAACCGCACGAAAGCGUUCCUGGAAAUCUCAGCCUAAAAAGGAUGUUUAGUAAUUCUAAAAGGGACUACAAGAUGAAAAAUAAUAGUUUGGGCAGUUAAAAUUUGAGAUUCGACGAUGCCGUAGAUCCGUUUGGUCAUCAGGUGUUAUGAGCCACACCCAUGUCUAGCUAGAAUAGUGUGUUAGGCUCAGGCUAGAGAAGAAACGGGGAACAAACUGAUGAAAGAAUGAUCAUACCGAGGGAAUUCACUCAGAACUAACAAGAAUGAUAACGUGCUCCGACUGGAGCAGUUUAGAAACUGCUGGAAGGCUCUAAUGGAAUAAAGAUGGAAUGCCUUCAAAUUUCUAGGUCCGUAUGAUUUGAAAUACUUGCACACAAACCGCUCGAAAGCGUUCCUGGAAAUCUCAGCCCAAAAAAGGACGUUUAGUAAUUCUAAAAGGGACUACAGGAUGAAAAACAAUAGUUUUGGCAGUUAAAGUUUGAGAUUCGAUGGUGCCGUAGAUCCGUUUGGUCAUCAGGUGUAACGAGCCACACACAUGUCUAGCUAGAGUAGUGUGCUAGGCUCAGACUAGAGAAGAAACGGGGAACAAAGUGAUGAAAGAAUGAUCAUACCGAGGGAAUUCACUCAGAACUUACAAGAAUGAUAACGUGCUCCGACUGGAGCGCUUUAGUAACUGCUGGAAGGCUCUAGGCGAAUAAAGAUGGAAUGACUUCUAAUUUUUAGGUCCGUAUGAUUUGAAAUACUUGCACACAAACCACGCAAAACCGUUCCUAGAAAUCUCGGUCGAAAAAAGGACGUUUAGUAAUUCUAAAAGGGACUACAGGAUGAAAAACAAUAGUUUUGGCAGUUAAAGUUUGAGAUUCGAUGGUGCCGUAGAUCCGUUUGGUCAUCAGGUGUUACGAGCCACACCCAUGUCUAGCUAGAGUAGUGUGCUAGGUUCAGACUAGAGAAGAAACGGGGAACAAAGUGAUUAAAGAAUGAUCAUACCGAGGGAAUUCACUCAGAACUAACAAGAAUGAUAACGUGCUCCGACUGGAGCGGUUUAGGAACUGCUGGAAGGCUCUAGGGGAAUAAAGAUGGAAUGACUUCUAAUUUUUACGUCCGUAUGAUUUGAAAUACAUGCACACAAACCACGCAAAAGCGUUCCUGGAAAUCUCAGCCUAAAAAAGGACGUUUAGUAAUUCUAAAAGGGACUACAGGAUGAAAAAUAAUAGUUUGGGCAGUUAAAAUUUGAGAUUCGACGCUGCCGUAGAUCCGUUUGGUCAUCAGGUCUUACGAGCCACACCCAUGUCUAGCUAGAAUAGUGUGUUAGGCUCAGGCUAGAGAAGAAACGGGGAACAAACUGAUGAAAGAAUGAUCAUACCGAGGGAAUUCACUCAGAACUAACAAGAAUGAUAACGUGCUCCGACUGGAGCAGUUUAGAAACUCCUGGAAGGCUCUAGGGGAAUAAAGAUGGAAUGACUUCAAAGUUUUAGGUCCGUAUGAUUUGAAAUACUUGCACACAAACCGCGUGAAAGCGUUCCUGGAAAUCUCAACCCAAAAAAGGGCGUUUAGUAAUUCUAAAAGGGACUACAGGAUGUAAAACAAUAGUUUUGGCAGUUAAAGUUUGAGAUUCGAUGGUGCCGUAGAUCCGUUUGGUCAUCAGGUGUAACGAGCCACACCCAUGUCUAGCUAGAGUAGUGUGCUAGGCUCAGACUAGAGAAGAAACGGGGAACAAAGUGAUGAAAGAAUGAUCAUACCGAGGGAAUUCACUCAUAACUAACAAGAAUGAUAACGUGCUCUGACUUGAGCGGUUUAGGAACUGCUGGAAGGCUAUAGGGGAAUAAAGAUGGAAUGACUUCAAAUUUUUAGGUCCGUAUGAUCUGAAAUACUUGCACACAAACCGCGAGAAAGCGUUCCUGGAAAUCUCAACCCAAAAAAGGACGUUUAGUAAUUCUAAAAGGGACUACAGGAUGAAAAACAAUAGUUCUGGCAGUUAUUGUUUGAGAUUCGAUAAUCUCGUAGAUCCGUUUGGUCAUCAGGUGUAACGAGCCACACCCAUGUCUAGCUAGAGUAGUGUGCUAGGCUCAGACUAGAGAAGAAACGGGGAACAAACUGAUGAAAGAAUGAUCAUACCGAGGGAAUUCACUUAGAACUAACAAGAAUGAUAACGUGCUCCGACUGGAGCGGUUUAGGAACUGCUGGAAGGCUCUAGGGGAAUAAAGAAGGAACGACUUCUAAUUUUUAGGUCCGUAUGAUUUGAAAUAUGUGCACACAAACCACGAGAAAGCGUUCCUAGAAAUCUCGGCCCAAAAGAGGACGUUUAGUAUUCUAAAAGGGACUACAGAAUGAAAAACAAUAGUUUUGGCAGUUAAAGUUUGAGAUUUGACGGUGCCGUAGAUCUGUUUGGUCAUCAGGGGUUACGAGCCACACCCAUGUCUAGCUAGAAUAGUGUGUUAGGCUCAGGCUAGAAAAGAAACGGGGAACAAAGUGAUGAAAGAAUGAUCAUACCGAGGGAAUUCACUCAGAACUAACAAGAAUGAUAACAUGCUCCGACUGGAGCGGUUUAGGAACUGCUGGAAGGCUCUAGGGGAAUAAAGAUGGAAUGACUUCUAAUUUUUAGGUCCGUAUGAUUUGAAAUACUUGCACACAAACCGCGCGAAAGCGUUCCUGGAAAUCUCAGCCCAAAAAAGGACGUUUAGUAAUUCUAAAAGGGACUACAGGAUGAAAAACAAUAGUUUUGGCAGUUAAAGUAUGAGAUUCAACGGUGCCGUAGAUCCGUUUGGUCAUUAGGUGUUACGAGCCACACCCAUGUCUAGCUAGAAUAGUGUGCUAGGCUCAGGCUAGAGAAGAAACGGGGAACAAACUGAUGAAAGAAUGAUCAAACCGAGGGAAUUCACUCAGAACUAACAAUAAUGAUAACGUGCUCCGACUGGAGCGGUUUAGGAACUGCUGGAAGUCUCUAGGGGAAUAAAGAUGGAAUGACUUCUAAUUUUUACGUUCGUAUGAUUUGAAAAACUUGCCCAUAAACCGCGCGAAAGUGUUCCUGGAAAUCUCAGCCCAAAAAAGGACGUUUAGUAAUUUUAAAAGGGACUACACGAUGAAAAACAAUAGUUUUGGCAGGUAAAGUUUGAGAUUCGACAGUGCCGUAGAUCCGUUUGGUCAUCAGGUGUUACGAGCCACACCCAUGUCUAGCUAGAAUAGUAUGUUACGCUCAGGUUAGAGAAGAAACGGGGAACAAACUGAUGAAAGAUGAUCAUACCAAGGGAAUUCACUCAGAACUAACAAGAAUGAUAACGUGCUCCGACUGGAGCGGUUUAGGAACUGCUGGAAGGCUCUAGGGGAAUAAAGAUGGAAUGACUUCUAAUUUUUACGUCUGUAUGAUUUGAAAUACUUGCACACAAACAACGCAAAAGCAUUCCUGGAAAUCUCAUCCUAAAAAAGGACGUUUAGUAAUUCUAAAAGGGACUACAGGAUGAAAAAUAAUAGUUUGGGAAGUUAAAAUUUGAGAUUCGAUAGUGCCGUAGAUCCGUUUGGUCAUCAGGUGUUAGGAGCCACACCCAUGUCUAGCUAGAAUAGUGUGUUAGGCUCAGGCUAGAGAAGAAACAGGGAACAAACUGAUGAAAGAAUGAUCAUACCGAGGGAAUUCACUCAGAACUAGCAAGAAUGAUAACGUGCUCCGACUGGAGCAGUUUUGAAACUGCUGGAAGGCUCUAGGGGAAUAAUGAUGGAAUGACUUCUAAGUUUUUGGUCCGUAUGAUUUGAAAUACGUGCACACAAACCCAGAGAAAGUGUUCUUGGAAAUCUCGGCCGAAAAAAGGAUGUUUAAUAAUUCUAAAAGGGACUACAGGAUGAAAAACAAUAGUUUUGGCAGUUAAAGUUUGUGAUUCGAUGGUGCUGUAGAUCUGUUUGGUCAUCAGGUGUUAUGAGCCACACCCAUGUCUAGCUAGAACAGUGUGUUAGGCUCAGGCUAGAGCAGAAACGGGGAACAAACUUAUGAAAGAAUGAUCAUACCGAGGGAAUUCACUCAGAACUAACAAGAAUGAUAACGUGCUCCGACUGGAGAGGUUUAGGAACUGCUGGAAGGCUCUAGGGGAAUAAAGAUGGAAUGACUUCAAAUUUUUAGGUCUGUAUGAUCUGAAAUACUUGCACACAAACCGCGAGAAAGCGUUCCUGGAAAUCUCAGCCCAAAAAAGGACGUUUAGUGAUUCUAAAAGGGACUACGGGAUAAAAAACAAUAGUUUUGGCAGUUAAAGUUUGAGAUUCGAUAAUGCCGUAGAUCCGUUUGGUCAUCAGGUGUAACGAGCCACACCCAUGUCUAGCUAGAGUAGUGUGCUAGGCUCAUACUAGAGAAGAAAUGGGGAACAAACUGAUGAAAGAAUGAUCAUACCGAGGGAGUUCACUCAAAACUAACAUGAAUGAUAACGUGCUCCGACUGGAGCGGUUUAGGAACUGCUGGAAGGCUCUAGGGGAAUAAAGAUGGAAUGACUUCUAAUUUUUAGGUCCGUAUGAUUUGAAAUACAUGCACACAAACCCCAAGAAAGCGUUCCUGGAAAUCUCGCCCCGAAAAACGACGUUUAGUAAUUCUAAAAGGGACUAUAGGAUGAAAAACAAUAGUUUUGGCAGUUAAAGUUUGAGAUUUGACGGUGCCGUAGAUCUGUUUGGUCAUCAGGUGUUACGAGCCACACCCAUUUCUAGCUAGAAUAGUGUGUUAGGCUCAGGCUAGAAAAGAAACGGGGAACAAAGUGAUGAAAGAAUGAUCAUACCGAGGGAAUUCACUCAGAACUAACAAGAAUGAUAACAUGGUCCGACUGGAGCGGUUUAGGAACUGCUGGAAGGCUCUAGGGGAAUAAAGAUGGAAUGACUUCUAACUUUUAGGUCCGUAUGAUUUGAAUUACUUGCACACAAACCGCGCGAAAGCGUUCCUGGAAAUCUCAGCCCAAAAAAGGACGUUUAGUAAUUCUAAAAGGGACUACAGGAUGAAAAACAAUAGUUUUGGCAGUUAAAGUUUGAGAUUCGACGGUGCCGUAGAUCCGUUUGGUCAGCAGGUGUUACGAGCCACACCCAUGUCUAGCUAGAGUAGUGUGCUAGGUUCAGACUAGAGAAGAAAUGUUGGGGAACGUAGCAGAAAUUCAAAAUUUUCCUACGUGUCACCAAGAUCUAUCUAUGGAGAGACUAGCAACGAGGGAAGGAGAGUGCAUCUACAUACCCUUGUAGAUCGCUAAGCGGAAGCGUUCAAGUGAACGGGGUUGAUGGAGUCGUACUCGUCGUGAUUCAGCUCACCGAUGAUCCUAGUGCCGAACGGACGGCACCUCCGCGUUCAACACACGUACAGCUCGACGAUGUCUCCCACGCCUUGAUCCAGCAAGGAGAGAGGGAGAGGUUGAGGAAGACUCCAUCCAGCAGAAGCACAACGGCGUGGUGGUGAUGGAGGAGCAUGGCAAUCCUGCAGGGCUUCGCCAAGCACCUAUGGGAGAGGAGGAGGUGUCACGGGAGGGAGGGAGGCGCCAAGGGCUCAGGUAUAGAUGCCCUCCCUCCCCUCCACUAUAUAUAGGGGCAAGGGAGAGGGGGGAGGCGCAGCCUUGCCCCUUCCUCCAAGGAAGGGGUGCGGCUAAGAGGGGGGGAGGAGUCCAUCCUCCCCAAGGCACCUCGGAGGUGCCUUCCCCCUUUAGGACUCUCCCCUUUUUCCUAUAUCUUGGCGCAUGGGCCUCUAGGGGCUGGUUCCCUUGGCCCAUGUAGGCCCAGGCGCACCCCCUACAGCCCAUGUGGCCCCCCGGGGCAGGUGGCCCCACCUGGUGGGCCCCCGGGACCCUUCCGGUGGUCCCGGUACAAUACCGAUGACCCCGAAACUUGUCCCGAUGGCCGAAACAGGACUUCCUAUAUAUAAAUCUUUACCUCCGGACAAUUCCGGAACUCCUCGUGACGUCCGGGAUCUCAUCCGGGACUCCGAACAACAUUCGGUAACCACAUACAAACUUCCUUUAUAACCCUAGCGUCAUCGAACCUUAAGUGUGUAGACCCUACGGGUUCGGGAGACAUGUAGUCAUGACCGAGAUGUUCUCCGGUCAAUAACCAACAGCGGGAUCUGGAUACCCAUGUUGGCUCCCACAUGUUCCACGAUGAUCUCAUCGGAUGAACCACGAUGUCAAGGACUCAAUCAAUCCCGUAUACAAUUCCCUUUGUCUAGCGGUAUGGUACUUGCCCGAGAUUCGAUCGUCGGUAUACCGAUACCUUGUUCAAUCUCGUUACCGGCAAGUCUCUUUACUCAUUUCGUAACACAUCAUCCCGUGAUCAACCCCUUGGUCACAUUGUGCACAUUAUGAUGAUGUCCUACCGAGUGGGCCCAGAGAUACCUCUCCGUUUACACGGAGUGACAAAAUCCCAAUCUCGAUUCGUGCCAACCCAACAGACACUUUCAGAGAUACCCGUAGUGUACCUUUACAGCCACCCAGUUACGUUGUGACGUUUGGCACACCCAAAGCACUCCUACAGUAUCCGGGAGUUGCACAAUCUCAUGGUCUAAGGAAAUGAUACUUGACAUUAGAAAAGCUUUAGCAUACGAACUACAUGAUCUUGUGCUAGGCUUAGGAUUGGGUCUUGUCCAUCACAUCAUUCUCCUAAUGAUGUGAUCCCGUUAUCAACGACAUCCAAUGUCCAUGGUCAGGAAACCGUAACCAUCUAUUGAUUAACGAGCUAGUCAACUAGAGGCUUACUAGGGACAUGGUGUUGUCUAUGUAUCCACACAUGUAUCUAAGUUUCCUAUCAAUACAAUUCUAGCAUGGAUAAUAAACGAUUAUCAUGAACAAGGAAAUAUAAUAAUAAUCAAUUUAUUAUUGCCUCUAGGGCAUAUUUCCAACAGUCUCCCACUUGCACUAGAGUCAAUAAUCUAGUUCACAUCGAUAUGUGAUUAACACUCAAGGUCACAUUCCCAUGUGACUAACACCCAAGAGUUUACUAGAGUCAAUAAUCUAGUUCACAUUUACCAUGUGAUUAACACUUGAUGAGUUCUGGGUUUGAUCAUGUUAUGCUUGUGAGAGAGGUUAUAGUCAACGGGUCUGAACCUUUCAGAUCCGUGUGUGCUUUACAAAUCUCUAUGUCAUCUCCUAGAUGCAGCUACCACGUUCUAUUUGGAGCUAUUCCAAAUAACUGUUCUACUUGGAGCUAUUCUAAAUUGUUGCUCCAUUAUACGUAUCCGGUAUCUCUACUCAGAGCUAUCCGGAUAGGUGUUAAGCUUGCAUCGACGUAACCCUUUACGACGAACUCUUUUACCACCUCCAUAAUUGAGAAAAUUCCUUAGUCCACUAGUUACUAAGGAUAACUUUGACCGCUGUCCUGUGAUCCAUUCUUGGAUCACUCUUGUACCCCUUGACUGACUCAUGGUAAAGCACACUUCAGGUGCGGUACACAGCAUAGCAUACUGUAGAGCCUAUGUCUUAAGCAUAGGGGACGACCUUCGUUCCUUUCUCUCUAUUCUGCCAUGGUCGAGCUUUAAGUCUUAACUUCAUACCUUACAACUCAGGCAAGAACUCCUUCUUUGACUGAUCCAUCUUGAACACCUUCAAGAUCACGUCAAGGCAUGUGCUCACGUCAAGAUCACGUCGGUAUACCGAUACCUUGUUCAAUCUCGUUACCGGCAAGUCUCUUUACUCGUUCCGUAACACAUCAUCCCGUGAUCAACCCCUUGGUCACAUUGUGCACAUUAUGAUGAUGUCCUACCGAGUGGGCCCAGAGAUACCUCUCCGUUUACACGGAGUGACAAAAUCCCAAUCUCGAUUCGUGCCAACCCAACAGACACUUUCAGAGAUACCCGUAGUGUACCUUUAUAGCCACCCAGUUACGUUGUGACGUUUGGCACACCCAAAGCACUCCUACGGUAUCCGGGAGUUGCACAAUCUCAUGGUCUAAGGAAAUGAUACUUGACAUUAGAAAAGCUUUAGCAUACGAACUACAUGAUCUUGUGCUAGGCUUAGGAUUGGGUCUUGUCCAUCACAUCAUUCUCCUAAUGAUGUGAUCCCGUUAUCAACGACAUCCAAUGUCCAUGGUCAGGAAACCGUAACCAUCUAUUGAUUAACGAGCCAGUCAACUAGAGGCUUACUAGGGACAUGGUGUUGUCUAUGUAUCCACACAUGUAUCUGAGUUUCCUAUCAAUACAAUUCUAGCAUGGAUAAUAAACGAUUAUCAUGAACAAGGAAAUAUAAUAAUAAUCAAUUUAUUAUUGCCUCUAGGGCAUAUUUCCAACAGUCUCCCACUUGCACUAGAGUCAAUAAUCUAGUUCACAUCACCAUGUGAUUAACACUGACAGGUCACAUCACCAUGUGACCAACAUCCAAAGAGUCUUGGGUUUGAUCAUGUUGCUUGUGAGAGAGGUUAUAGUCAACGGGUCUGAACCUUUCAGAUCCGUGUGUGCUUUACAAAUCUCUAUGUCAUCUCCUAGAUGCAGCUACCACGUUCUAUUUGGAGCUAUUCCAAAUAACUGUUCUACUUGGAGCUAUUCUAAAUUGUUGCUCCAUUAUACGUAUCCGGUAUCUCUACUCAGAGCUAUCCGGAUAGGUGUUAAGCUUGCAUCGACGUAACCCUUUACGACGAACUCUUUUACCACCUCCAUAAUUGAGAAAAUUCCUUAGUCCACUAGUUACUAAGGAUAACUUUGACCGCUGUCCUGCGAUCCAUUCUUGGAUCACCCUUGUACCCCUUGACUGACUCAUGGUAAAGCACACUUCAGGUGCGGUACACAGCAUAGCAUACUGUAGAGCCUAUGUCUUAAGCAUAGGGGAUGACCUUCGUUCCUUUCUCUCUAUUCUGCCAUGGUCGAGCUUUAAGUCUUAACUUCAUACCUUACAACUCAGGCAAGAACUCCUUCUUUGACUGGUCCAUCUUGAACACCUUCAAGAUCAUGUCAAGGUAUGUGCUCAUUUGAAAGUACUAUUAAGCGUUUUGAUCUAUCCUUAUAGAUCUUGAUGCUCAAUGUUCAAGUAGCUUAAUCCAGGUUUUCCAUUGAAAACACUUUCCAAAUAACCCUAUAUGCUUUCCAGAAAUUCUACGUCAUUUCUGAUCAUUAAUAUGUCAACAACAUAUAAUCAUCAGAAAUUCUAUAGUGCUCCCACUCACUUCUUUGGAAAUACAAGUUUCUCAUAAACUUUGUAUACACCCAAAAUCUUUGAUCAUCAUCAAAGCAUACAUUCCAACUCCGAGAUGCUCACUCCAGUCCUCAGAAGGAUUGCUGGAGCUUUGCAUACUUAUUAGCAUAUUUCAGGAUAGACAAAACCUUCCAGUUGUAUCACAUACAACCUUUCCUCAAGAAUCGUCGACGAAACAAUGUUUUGACAUCCUAUCUGCAAGAUUUCAUAAAUAAUGCAGUAAUUGUUAAUAUAAUUCCAACAGACUCUUAGCAUCGCUACGAGUGAGAAAGUCUCAUUGUAGUCAACUCCUUGAACUUGUCAAAAAACAUCUUAACGACAAGUCGAGCUUUCUCAAUGGUGACACUUACCAUCAUUGUCUGUCUUCCUUUCAAAAUCCAUAUGUACCUAACAGCCUUACGACCAUCAAGUAGUUCUUCCAAAGUCUACACUUUGUUUUCAUACAUGGAUCCUCUCUCGGGUUUUAUGGCCAUGAGCCAUUUAUCGGAAUCCGGGCCCACCAUUGCUUCUCCAUAGCUCGUAGGUUCAUUGUUGUCUAGCAACAUGACUUCCAAGACAGGAUUACUGUACCACUCUGAAGUAGUACGUAUCCUUGUCACCCUACGAGGUUUGGGAGUGACUUGAUCUGAAGUUUCAUGAUCACUAUCAUAAGCUUCUACUUCAAUUGGUGUAGGUGCCACAGGAACAACUUCCUGUGCCCUGCUACACACUGGUUGAAGUGAUGGUUCAAUAACCUCAUCAAGUCUCCACCAUCCUCCCACUCAAUUCUUUCGAGAGAAACCUUUCCUCGAGAAAGGACCCAAUUCUAGAAACAAUUCAUAUUGCUUUCGGAUCUGAAUUAGGAAGUAUACCCAACUGUUUUGGGUGUCCUAUGAAGAUGUACUUUAUCCGCUUUGGUUUCGAGCUUAAUCCUGAAACUUUUUCACAUAAGUGUCGCAGCCCCAAACCUUUAAGAAACGACAACUUAGGUUUCUCUAAACCAUAAUUCAUACGGUGUCAUCUCAUCGGAAUUACGUGGUGCCCUAUUUAAAGUGAAUGUGGUUGUCUUUAAUGCCUAACCCAUAAACUAUCGUGGCAGUUCGAUAAGAGACAUCAUGGUAUGCAUCAUAUCCAAUAGGGUGCAACUAUGAUGUUCGGACACACCAUCACACUAUGGUGUUCCAGGCGGUAUUAAUUGUGAAACAAUUUCCACAAUGUCUUAAUUGUGUGCCAAAACUCGUAACUCAGAUACUCAUCUCUAUGAUCAUAUCAUAGACAUUUUAUCCUCUUGUCACAAUGAUCUUCUACUUCACUCUGAAAUUACUUGAACCAUUCAACAAUUCAGACUUGUGUUUCAUCAAGUAAAUAUUCUCAACAUCUACUCGAAUCAUCUGUGAAGUAAGAACAUAACGAUAUUCACUGCAUGCCUCAGCACUCAUUGGACUGCACACAUCAAAAUGUGUUACUUCCAACAAGUUGCUAUCUUGUUCCAUCUUACUGAAAACGAGGCUUUUCAGUCAUCUUGCCCAUGUGGUAUGAUUUGCAUGUCCCAAGUGAUUCAAAAAUCAAGUGAGUCAAAACGGUCCAUUUGCAUGGAGUUUCUUCAUGCAUAUACACCAAUAGACAUGGUUCGCAUGUCUCAAACUUUUCAAAAACGAGUGAGCCCAAAGAUCCAUCAAUAUGGAGCUUCUUCAUGCGUUUUAUACCGAUAUGACUUACGUGGUAGUGCCACAAGUAGGUGGUACUAUCAUUACUAUCUUUUGGCAUGAACAUGUGUAUCACUACGAUCGAGAUUUAAUAAACCAUUCAUUUUAGGUGUAAGACCAUUGAAGGUAUUAUUCAAAUAAACAGAGUAACCAUUAUUCUCCUUAAAUGAAUAACCGUAUUGCGAUAGACGUAAUCCAAUCAUGUCUAUGCUCAACGCAAACACCAAAUAACAAUUAUUUAGGUUUAACACCAAUCUCUUUGGUAGAGGGAGCGUGCGAUGCUUGAUCAUAUCAAGCAUGGAAAAACUUACAACACAUAUCGUCAGCUCACCUUUAGCUAGUCUCUGUUUAUUCCGUAGCCUUUUGUUUCGAGUUACUAACACUUAGCAACCGAACUGGUAUCUAAUACCCUGGUGCUACUAGGAGUACUAGCAAAGUACACAUUAACACAAUGUAUAUCCAAUAUACUUCUAUCGACCUUGCCAGCCUUCUUAUCUACCAAGUAUCUAGGGUAAUUCUGCUCUAGUAGUUGUUCCCCUUAUUACAGAAGCACUUAGUCUCGGGUUUGGGUUUUACCUUGGGUUUCUUCACUAGAGCAGCAGCUGAUUUGCCGUUUCAUGAAGUAUCCCUUCUUGCCCUUGCCCUUCUUGAAACUAGUGGUUCCACCAACCAUCAACAAUUGAUGCUCCUUCUUGAUUUCUACUUUCGCGGUGUCAAACAUCGCGAAUACCUCAAGGAUCAUCAUAUCUAUCCCUGAUAUGUUAUAGUUCAUCAUGAAGCUCUAACAGCUUGGUGGCAAUGACUUUGGAGAACCAUCACUAUCUCAUCUGGAAGAUCAACUCCCACUCGAUUCAAGCGAUUGUUGUACUCAGACAAUCUGAGCACAAGCUCAACGAUUGAGCUUUUCUCCCUUAGUUUGCAGGUUAAGAAAGUCAUCGGAGGUCUUAUACCUCUUGACAUGGGCACGAGCCUGAAAUCCCAAUUUCAGCCCUCAAAACAUCUCAUAUGUUUCGCGAUGUUUCAAAAACGUCUUUGGUGCCUCAACUCUAAACCGUUUAACUGAACUAUCACGUAGUUAUCAAAACGUGUAUGUCAGAUGUUCGCAACAACCACAGACAACGUUCGAGGUUCAGCACACUGAGCGGUGCAUUAAGGACAUAAGCCUUCUAUGAAGCAAUGAGGACAAUCCUCAGUUUACGGACCUAGUCCGCAUAAUUGCUACUAUCAACUUUCAACUAAUUUUUCUCUAGGAACAUAUCUAAACAGUAGAACUAUAGCGUGAGCUACGACAUAAUUUGCAAAAACCUUUUGACUAUGUUCAGGAUAAUUAAGUUCAUCUUAUGAACUCCCACUCAGAUAGACAUCCCUCUAGUCAUCUAAGUGAUUACAUGAUCCGAGUCAAACUAGGCCGUGUCCGAUCAUCACGUGAGACGGACUAGUCAUCAUCGGUGAACAUCUUCAUGUUGAUCGUAUCUUCUAUACGACUCAUGUUCGACCUUUCGGUCUUCGUGUUCCGAGGCCAUGUAUGUACAUGCUAGGCUCGUCAAGUUAACCCUAAGUGUUUCGCGUGUGUAAAUCUGUCUUACACCCGUUGUAUGUGAACGUUAGAAUCUAACACCCGAUCAUCACGUGGUGCUUCGAAACACGAACUGUCGCAACGGUGCACAGUUAGGGGAGAACACUUCUUGAAAUUGUUGUAAGGGAUCAUCUUAUUUACUACCGUCGUUCUAAGCAAAUAAGAUGUAUAAACAUGAUAAACAUCACAUGCAAUCAAAUAGUGACAUGAUAUGGCCAUCAUCACUUUGCUCCUUUUGAUCUCCAUCUUCGGGGCUCCAUGAUCAUCAUCGUCACCGGCAUGACACCAUGAUCUCCAUCAUCAUGAUCUCCAUCAUCGUGUCUUCAUGAAGUUGCCUCGCCAACUAUUACUUCUACUACUAUGGCUAACGGUUAGCAAUAAAGUAAAGUAAUUACAUGACGUUUAAGUUGACACGCAGGUCACAAAUGAAUAAAGACAACUCCUAUGGCUCCUGCCGGUUGUCAUACUCAUCGACAUGCAAGUCGUGAUUCCUAUUACAAGAACAUGAUCAAUCUCAUACAUCACAUAUAUCAUUCAUCACAUCCUUUUUGGCCAUAUCACAUCACAUAGCAUACCCUGCAAAAACAAGUUAGACGUCCUCUAAUUGUUGUUUGCAUGUUUUACGUGGCUGCUAUGGGUUUCUAGCAAGAACGUUUCUUACCUACGCAUGAACAACAACGUGAUAUGCCAAUUGCUAUUUACCCUUCAUAAGGACCCUUUUCAUCGAAUCCGAUCCGACUAAAGUGGGAGAGACAGACACCCGCCAGCCACCUUAUGCAACUAGUGCAUGUUUGUCGGUGGAACCGGUCUCACGUAAGCGUACGUGUAAGGUUGGUCCGGGCCGCUUCAUCCCACGAUGCCGCCGAAUCAAGAUAAGACUAGUAACGGCAAGCAUAUUGAACAAUAUCAACGCCCACAACUACUUUGUGUUCUACUCGUGCAAAGAAUCUACGCAAUAGACCUAGCUCAUGAUGCCACUGUUGGGGAACGUAGCAGAAAUUCAAAAUUUUCCUACGUGUCACCAAGAUCUAUCUAUGGAGAUACUAGCAACGAGGGAAGGAGAGUGCAUCUACAUACCCUUGUAGAUCGCUAAGCGGAAGCGUUCAAGUGAACGGGGUUGAUGGAGUCGUACUCGUCGUGAUUCAGAUCACCGAUGAUCCUAGUGCCGAACGGACGGCACCUCCGCGUUCAACACACGUACAGCUCGACGAUGUCUCCCACGCCUUGAUCCAGCAAGGAGAGAGGGAGAGGUUGAGGAAGACUCCAUCCAGCAGCAGCACAACGGCGUGGUGGUGAUGGAGGAGCGUGGCAAUCCUGCAGGGCUUCGCCAAGCACCUACGGGAGAGGAGGAGGUGUCACGGGAGGGAGGGAGGCGCCAAGGGCUCAGGUAUAGAUGCCCUCCCUCCCCUCCACUAUAUAUAGGGGCAAGGGAGAGGGGGAGGCGCAUCCUUGCCCCUUCCUCCAAGGAAGGGGUGCGGCUAAGAGGGGGGGAGGAGUCCAUCCUCCCCAAGGCACCUCGGAGGUGCCUUCCCCCUUUAGGACUCUCCCCUUUUUCCUAUAUCUUGGCGCAUGGGCCUCUAGGGGCUGGUGCCCUUGGCCCAUGUAGGCCAAGGCGCACCCCCCUACAGCCCAUGUGGCCCCCCGGGGCAGGUGGCCCCACCCGGUGGGCCCCCGGGACCCUUCCGGUGGUCCCGGUACAAUACCGAUGACCCCGAAACUUGUCCCGAUGGCCGAAACAGGACUUCCUAUAUAUAAAUCUUUACCUCCGGACCAUUCCGGAACUCCUCGUGACGUCCGGGAUCUCAUCCGGGACUCCGAACAACAUUCGGUAACCACAUACAAACUUCCUUUAUAACCCUAGCGUCAUCGAACCUUAAGUGUGUAGACCCUACGGGUUCGGGAGACAUGUAGUCAUGACCGAGAUGUUCUCCGGUCAAUAACCAACAGCGGGAUCUGGAUACCCAUGUUGGCUCGCACAUGUUCCACGAUGAUCUCAUCGGAUGAACCACGAUGUCAAGGACUCAAUCAAUCCCGUAUACAAUUCCCUUUGUCUAGCGGUAUGGUACUUGCCCGAGAUUCGAUCGUCGGUAUACCGAUACCUUGUUCAAUCUCGUUACCGGCAAGCCUCUUUACUCGUUCCGUAACACAUCAUCCCGUGAUCAACCCCUUGGUCACAUUGUGCACAUUAUGAUGAUGUCCUACCGAGUGGGCCCAGAGAUACCUCUCCGUUUACACGGAGUGACAAAAUCCCAAUCUCGAUUCGUGCCAACCCAACAGACACUUUCAGAGAUACCCGUAGUGUACCUUUAUAGCCACCCAGUUACGUUGUGACGUUUGGCACACCCAAAGCACUCCUACGGUAUCCGGGAGUUGCACAAUCUCAUGGUCUAAGGAAAUGAUACUUGACAUUAGAAAAGCUUUAGCAUACGAACUACAUGAUCUUGUGCUAGGCUUAGNNNNNNNNNNUGAUCAACCCCUUGGUCACAUUGUGCACAUUAUGAUGAUGUCCUACCGAGUGGGCCCAGAGAUACCUCUCCGUUUACACGGAGUGACAAAAUCCCAAUCUCGAUUCGUGCCAACCCAACAGACAUUUUCAGAGAUACCCGUAGUGUACCUUUAUAGCCACCCAGUUACGUUGUGACGUUUGGCACACCCAAAGCACUCCUACGGUAUCCGGGAGUUGCACAAUCUCAUGGUCUAAGGAAAUGAUACUUGACAUUAGAAAAGCUUUAGCAUACGAACUACAUGAUCUUGUGCUAGGCUUAGGAUUGGGUCUUGUCCAUCACAUCAUUCUCCUAAUGAUGUGAUCCCGUUAUCAACGACAUCCAAUGUCCAUGGUCAGGAAACCGUAACCAUCUAUUGAUUAACGAGCUAGUCAACUAGAGGCUUACUAGGGACAUGGUGUUGUCUAUGUAUCCACACAUGUAUCUGAGUUUCCUAUCAAUACAAUUCUAGCAUGGAUAAUAAACGAUUAUCAUGAACAAGGAAAUAUAAUAAUAAUCAAUUUAUUAUUGCCUCUAGGGCAUAUUUCCAACAAGAAACGGGGAACAAACUGAUGAAAGAAUGAUCAUACCGAGGGAAUUCACUCAGAACUAACAAGAAUGAUAACGUGCUUUGACUGGAGCGGUUUAAAAACUGCUGGAAGGCUCUAGGGGAAUAAAGAUGGAAUGCCUUCAAAUUUCUAGGUCCGUAUGAUUUGAAAUACUUGCACACAAACCGCGCGAAAGCGUUCCUGGAAAUCUCAGCCCAAAAAAGGACGUUUAGUAAUUCUAAAAGGGACUACAGAAUGAAAAACAAUAGUUUUGGCAGUUAAAGUUUGAGAUUCGAUGGUGCCGUAGAUCCGUUUGGUCAUCAGGUGUAACGAGCCACACCCAUGUCUAGCUAGAGUAGUGUGCUAGGCUCAGGCUAGAGAAGAAACGGGGAACAAACUGAUGAAAGAAUGAUCAUACCGAGGGAAUUCACUCAGAACUAACAAGAAUGAUAACGUGCUCCGACUGGAGCGGUUUAGGAACUGCUGGAAGGCUCUAGGGGAAGAAAGAAGGAAUGACUUCUAAUUUUUAGGUCCGUAUGAUUUGAAAUACGUGCACACAAACCGCGCGAAAGCGUUCCUGGAAAUCUCAGCCCAAAAAAGGACGUUUAGUAUUCUAAAAGGGACUACAGAAUGAAAAACAAUAGUUUUGGCAGUUAAAGUUUGAGAUUCGACGGUGCCGUAGAUCCGUUUGGUCAUCAGGUGUUACGAGCCACACCCAUGUCUAGCUAGAAUAGUGUGCNNNNNNNNNNNNNNNNNNNNNNNNNCGUAUGAUUUGAAAUACGUGCACACAAACCGCGCGAAAGCGUUCCUGGAAAUCUCAGCCCAAAAAAGGACGUUUAGUAUUCUAAAAGGGACUACAGAAUGAAAAACAAUAGUUUUGGCAGUUAAAGUUUGAGAUUCGACGGUGCUGUAGAUCCGUUUGGUCAUCAGGUGUUACGAGCCACACCCAUGUCUAGCUAGAAUAGUGUGCUAGGCUCAGGCUAGAGAAGAAAAGGGGAACAAACUAAUGAAAGAAUGAUCAAUACGAGGGAAUUCACUCAGAACUAACAAUAAUGAUAACGUGCUCCGACUGGAGCGGUUUAGGAACUGCUGGAAGGCUCUAGGCGAAUAAAGAUGGAAUGACUUCUAAUUUUUACGUCCGUAUGAUUUGAAAUACUUGCACACAAACCACGCAAAAGCGUUCCUGGAAAUCUCGGCCUAAAAAGGACGUUUAGUAAUUCUAAAAGGGACUACAGGAUGAAAAAUAAUAGUUUGGGCAGUUAAAAUUUGAGAUUCGACGGUGCCGUAGAUCCGUUUGGUCAUCAGGUGUUACGAGCCACACCCAUGUCUAGCUAGAAUAGUGUGUUAGGCUCAGGCUAGAGAAGAAACGAGGAACAAACUGAUGAAAGAAUGAUCAUACCAAGGGAAUUCACUCAGAACUAACAAGAAUGAUAACGUGCUCCGACUGGAGCAGUUUAGAAACUGCUGGAAGGCUCUAGGGGAAUAAAGAUGGAAUGACUUCUGAUUUUUAGGUCCGUAUGAUUUGAAAUACGUGCACACAAACCCCGCGAAAGCGUUCCUGGAAAUCUCAGCCCAAAAAAGGACGUUUAGUAAUUCUAAAAGGGACUACAACAUGAAAAACAAUAGUUUUGGCAGUUAAAGUUUGAGAUUUCAUGGUGCCGUAGAUCUGUUUGGUCAUCAGGUGUUACGAGCCACACCCAUGUCUAGCUAGAAUAGUGUGUUAGGCUCAGGCUAGAAAAGAAACGGGAAACAAAGUGAUGAAAGAAUGACCAUACCGAGGGAAUUCACUCAGAACUAACAAGAAUGAUAACAUGCUCCGACUUGAGCGGUUUAGGAACUGCUGGAAGGCUCUAGGGGAAUAAAGAUGGAAUGACUUCUAAUGUUUAGGUCCGUAUGAUUUGAAAUACUUGCACAUAAACCGCACAAAAGCGUUCCUGGAAAUCUCAGCCCAAAAAAGGACGUUUAGUAAUUCUAAAAGGGACUACAGGAUGAAAAACAAUAGUUUUGGCAGUUAAAGUUUGAGAUUCGACGGUGCCGUAGAUCCGUUUGGUCAUCAGGUGUUACGAGCCACACCCAUGUCUAGCUAGAAUAGUGUGUUAGGCUCAGGCUAGAGAAGAAACUUGGAACAAACUGAUGAAAGAAUGAUCAAACCAACGGAAUUCACUCAGAACUAACAAUAAUGAUAACGUGCUCCGACUGGAGCAGUUUAGGAACUGCUGGAAGGCUCUAGGGGAAUAAAGAUGGAAUGACUUCUAAUUUUUAGGUCCGUAUGAUUUGAAAUACUUGCACGCAAACCGCGCGAAAGCGUUCCUGGAAAUAUCAGCCCAAAAAAGGACGUUUAGUAAUUCUAAAAGGGACUACAGGAUGAAAACAAUAGUUUUGGCAGUUAAAGUUUGAGAUUCAACAGUGCCGUAGAUCCGUUUGGUCAUCAGGUGUUAUGAGCCAUACCCAUGUCUAGCUAGAGUAGUGUGCUAGGCUCAGGCUAGAGAAGAAACAGGGAACAAACUGAUGAAAGAAUGAUCAUACCGAGGGAAUUCACUCAGAACUAACAAGAAUGAUAACGUGCUCCGACUGGAGCGGUUUAGGAACUGCUGGAAGGCUCUAGGGGAAUAAAGAUGGAGUGACUUCUAAAUUUUUAGGUCCGUAUGAUUUAAAAUACUUGCACACAAACCGCACGAAAGCGUUCCUUGAAAUCUCAGCCCAAAAAAGGACGUUUAGUAAGUCUAAAAGGGACUAUAGGAUGAAAAACAAUAGUUUUGGCAGUUAAAGUUUGAGAUUCGAUGGUGCCGUAGAUCUGUUUGGUCAUCAGGUGUUACGAGCCACACCCAUGUCUAGUUGGAAUAGUGUGCUAGGCUCAGACUAGAGAAGAAACAGGGAACAAACUGAUGAAAGAAUGAUCAAACCGAGGAAAUUCACUCAGAACUAACAAUAAUGAUAACAUGCUCCGACUGGAGCGGUUUAGGAACUGCUGGAAGGCUCUAGGGGAAUAAAGAUGGAAUGACUUCUAAAUUUUUAGGUCCGUAUGAUUUGAAAUAGUUGCACACAAACUGCGCGAAAGCGUUCCUGGAAAUCUCAGCCCAAAAAAGGACGUUUAGUAAUUCUAAAAGGGACUAUAGGAUGAAAAACAAUAGUUUUGGCAGUUAAAGUUUGAGAUUCGACGGUGCCGUAGAUCCGUUUGGUCAUCACGUGUUACAAGCCACACCCAUGUCUAGCUAGAGUAGUGUGCUAGGCUCAGACUAUAGAAGAAACGGGGACCAAACUGAUGAAAGAAUGAUCAAACCGAGGAAAUUCACUCAGAACUAACAAUAAUGAUAACAUGCUCCGACUGGAGCGGUUUAGGAACUACUGGAAGGCUCUAGGGGAAUAAAGAUGGAAUGACUUCUAAAUUUUUAGGUCCGUAUGAUUUUAAAUAGUUGCACACAAACUGCGCGAAAGCGUUCCUGGAAAUCUCAGCCCAAAAAAGGACGUUUAGUAAUUCUAAAAGGGACUACAGGAUGAAAAACAAUAGUUUGGGCAGUUAAAAUUUGAGAUUCGACGGUGCCGUAGAUCCGUUUGGUCAUCAGGUGUUACGAGCCACACCCAUGUCUAGCUAGAGUAGUGUGCUAGGCUCAGGCUAGAGAAGAAACAGGGAACAAACUGAUGAAAGAAUGAUCAUACCGAGGGAAUUCACUCAGAACUAACAAGAAUGAUAACGUGCUCUGACUGGAGCGGUUUAAGAACUGUUGGAAGGCUCUAGGGGAAUAAAGAUGGAAUCACUUCAAAUUUUUACGUCCGUGUGAUUUGAAAUACUUGCACACAAACCGCACGAAAGCGUUCCUGGAAAUCUCAGCCCAAAAAAGGACGUUUAGUAAGUCUAAAAGGGACUACACGAUGAAAAACAAUAGUUUUGGCAGUUAAAGUUUGAGAUUCGACAGUGCCGUAGAUCCGUUUGGUCAUCAGGUGUAACGAGCCACACCCAUGUCUAGAUAGAGUAGUGUGCUAGGCUCAAACUAGAGAAGAAACGGGGAACAAACUGAUGAAAGAAUGAUCAUACCGAGGGAAUUCACUCAGAAAUAACAAGAAUGAUAACGUGCUCUGACUGGAGCGGUUUAGGAACUGCUGGAAGGCUCUAGGGGAAUAAAGAAGGAAUGACUUCUAAUUUUUAGGUCCGUAUGAUUUGAAAUACGUGCACACAAACCCCGAGAAAGCGUUCCUGGAAAUCUCGACCCAAAAAAGGACGUUUAGUAAUUCUAAAAGGGACUACGGGAUGAAAAACAAUAGUUUUGGCAGUUAAAGUUUGAGAUUCGAUAAUGCCGUAGAUCCAUUUGGUCAUCAGGUGUAACGAGCCACACCCAUGUCUAGCUAGAGUAGUGUGCUAGGCUCAGACUAGAGAAGAAACAGGGAACAAACUGAUGAAAGAAUGAUCAUAUCGAGGGAAUUCACUCAGAACUAACAAGAAUGAUAACAUGCUCCGACUUGAGCGGUUUAGGAACUGCUGGAAGGCUCUAGGGGAAUAAAGAUGGAAUGACUUCUAAUUUUUAGGUCCGUAUGAUUUGAAAUACUUACACACAAACCACGCGAAAGCGUUCCUGGAAAUCUCAGCCCAAAAAAGGACGUUUAGUAAUUCUAAAAGGGACUACAUGAUGAAAAACAAUAGUUUUCGCAGUUAAAGUUUGAGAUUCGACGGUGCCGUAGAUCCGUUUGGUCAUCAAGUGUUACGAGCCACACCCAUGUCUAGCUAGAAUAGUGUGUUAGGCUCAGCCUAGAGAAGAAACGGGGAACAAACUGAUGAAAGAAUGAUCAUACCGAGGGAAUUCACUCAGAACUUACAAGAAUGAUAACGUGCUCCGACUUGAGCGGUUUAAGAACUGUUGGAAGGCUCUAGGGGAAUAAAGAUGGAAUCACUUCAAAUUUUUACGUCCGUGUGAUUUGAAAUACUUGCACACAAACCCCGAGAAAGCGUUCCUGGAAAUCUCGGCCGAAAAAAGGAUGUUUAAUAAUUCUAAAAGGGACUACAGGAUGAAAAACAAUAGCUUUGGCAGUUAAAGUUUGUGAUUCGAUGGUGCCGUAGAUCUGUUUGGUCAUCAGGUGUUAUGAGCCACACCCAUGUCUAGCUAGAAUAGUGUGUUAGGCUCAGGCUAGAGCAGAAACUAGGAACAAACUUAUGAAAGAAUGAUCAUACCGAGGGAAUUCACUCAGAACUAACAAGAAUGAUAACGUGCUCCGACUGGAGCGGUUUAGGAACUGCUGGAAGGCUCUAGGGGAAUAAAGAUGGAAUGACUUCUAAUUUUUAGGUCCGUAUGAUUUGAAAUACAUGCACACAAACCCCAAGAAAGCGUUCCUAGAAAUCUCAGCCCAAAAAGGACGUUUAGUAAUUCUAAAAGGGACUACAGGAUGAAAAACAAUAGGUUUGGCAGUUAAAGUUUGAGAUUCGAUAAUGCCGUAGAUCCGUUUGGUCAUCAGGUGUAACGAGCCACACCCAUGUCUAGCUACAUUAGUGUGCUAGGCUCAGACUAGAGAAGAAACGGGGAACAAACUGAUGAAAGAAUGAUCAUACCGAGGGAAUUCACUCAGAACUAACAAGAACGAUAACAUGCUCCGACUGCAGCGGUUUAGGAACUGCUGGAAGGCUCUAGGGGAAUAAAGAAGGAAUGACUUCUAAUUUUUAGGUCCGUAUGAUUUGAAAUACUUGCACACAAACCGCGCGAAAGCAUUCCUGGAAAUCUCAGCCCAAAAAAGGACGUUUAGUAAUUCUAAAAGGGACUACAGGAUGAAAAACAAUAAUUUUGGCAGUUAAAGUUUGAGAUUCGACGGUGCCGUAGAUCCGUUUGGUCAUCAGGUGUUACGGGCCAUACCCAUGUCUAGCUAGAAUAGUGUGUUAGGCUCAGGUUAGAGAAGAAACGGGGAACAAAGUGAUGAAAGAAUGAUCAUACCGAGGGAAUUCACUCAGAACUAACAAGAAUGAUAACGUGCUCCGACUGGAGCGGUUUAGGAAUUGCUGGAAGGCUCUAGGGGAAUAAAGAUGGAAUGACUUCUAUAUUUUACGUCCGUAUGAUUUGAAAUACUUGCACACAAACCACGCAAAAGCACUCCUGGAAAUAUCAGCCUAAAAAGGAUGUUUAGUAAUUCUAAAAGGGACUACAGGAUGAAAAAUAAUAGUUUUGGCAGUUAAAAUUUGAGAUUCAACGGUGCCGUAAAUCCGUUUGGUCAUCAGGUGUUACGAGCCACACCCAUGUCUAGCUAGAAUAGUGUGUUAGGCUCAGGUUAGAGAAGAAACGGGGAACAAACUGAUGAAAGAAU